rnacentral:rRNA from 1 species
AACGAACGCUGGCGGCAGGCUUAACACAUGCAAGUCGAACGCCCCGCAAGGGGAGUGGCAGACGGGUGAGUAACGCGUGGGAAUCUACCCAUCUCUGCGGAAUAGCUCCGGGAAACUGGAAUUAAUACCGCAUACGCCCUACGGGGGAAAGAUUUAUCGGGGAUGGAUGAGCCCGCGUUGGAUUAGCUAGUUGGUGGGGUAAAGGCCUACCAAGGCGACGAUCCAUAGCUGGUCUGAGAGGAUGAUCAGCCACAUUGGGACUGAGACACGGCCCAAACUCCUACGGGAGGCAGCAGUGGGGAAUAUUGGACAAUGGGCGCAAGCCUGAUCCAGCCAUGCCGCGUGAGUGAUGAAGGCCUUAGGGUUGUAAAGCUCUUUCACCGAUGAAGAUAAUGACGGUAGUCGGAGAAGAAGCCCCGGCUAACUUCGUGCCAGCCGCCGCAGUAAAAC